rnacentral:rRNA from 1 species
GAUGAACGCUAGCUACAGGCUUAACACAUGCAAGUCGAGGGGAAACGACAUCGAAAGCUUGCUUUUGAUGGGCGUCGACCGGCGCACGGGUGAGUAACGCGUAUCCAACCUGCCCACCACUUGGGGAUAACCUUGCGAAAGUAAGACUAAUACCCAAUGAUAUCUCUAGAGGGCAUCAGAAAGAGAUUAAAGAUUUAUCGGUGAUGGAUGGGGAUGCGUCUGAUUAGCUUGUUGGCGGGGUAACGGCCUACCAAGGCUACGAUCAGUAGGGGUUCUGAGAGGAAGGUCCCCCACAUUGGAACUGAGACACGGUACAAACUCCUACGGGAGGCAGCAGUGAGGAAUAUUGGUCAAUGGACGCGAGUCUGAACCAGCCAAGUAGCGUGCAGGAUGACGGCCCUAUGGGUUGUAAACUGCUUUUAUAAGGGAAUAAAGUGAGUCUCGUGAGACUUUUUGCAUGUACCUUAUGAAUAAGGACCGGCUAAUUCCGUGCCAGCCGCCGCCGUAA